rnacentral:rRNA from 1 species
UACGUAGGGGGCAAGCGUUGUCCGGAAUCAUUGGGCGUAAAGAGCGUGUAGGCGGCUCGGUAAGUCCGCUCUGAAAGCCCGGGGCUCAACCCCGGGAGGCGGGCGGAUACUGUCGGGCUAGAGUCCGGAAGAGGCGAGUGGAAUUCCUGGUGUAGCGGUGAAAUGCGCAGGAUAUCAGGAGGAACACCAAGUGGCGAAGGCAGCUCGCUGGGACGGUACUGACGCUGGAGACGCGAAAGCGUGGGGAGCAAACAGG